UUACCCCAAAGAAGUGGUACAUAGACUGAAAAAACUUGAGAACCAUGAUUUUUAAAGAACCCAAGUGCUACCAGUAUUAAUUCAUUAUCUAAUUGUCUAAUUGUUUAUGAAUGAUUUGUUGUUAUUAGUCUUGCUUGAAUAAAUGUAUUCUACUUUGUAUGGCAUGGCUGUUGCAGAUACUGCUAGCUGGACGCCCCCAUCCCAUUUCCUCUACUUUCUUUUAUUUAUAGUAAUUGAGUCCACCUGUUUCCACUCUCCAACAUUUUCCCUCCAUGUUUUUUACAAACAUGGCCUCCCUGCUACAGACUACAUUUCCCAGCAUGCCUUGAAGCUAACUUAUGUCCAUGUGAUGAGAUUCCUGGCAAUGGAAGUGGAGUGGAAUUGAGAUCUGUCAUUUCUUGUCCUUUCCUGAAAGACACCUGCCCUGGACUCUCUUCUUUUUCUUUUCUGUGGGCUGUAACUAGAAGUGGCAGUGACCCAGCUUUGUCAACACCGAGGAGUAUGACAUUCAGGACGUGGCAAUGAAGCACAAAGAAUCUAUGUCCUUUAAUGACCUACAGGAAUAGAUCCACUGCGCUACUUGGAUCAGCCAGACUACUGUGAGAGAGAAAUAUACUUCUAUCUAUGCCCACAUGACCCUAACCUGAAAAGGAAAGAGGAAGUGAAGGAAAAAAACAGAGAAGGAGGAAGAAUGAAGAAAUAGAAGGUAACAAUAGAUAAAGGAGGAUAUAAGAAGAGGAGGAAGAGAGGAGAAAGAAGAGGAGGUUGGGAAAGGUGGAGGAGAAAUAGCUUCACUAAAUGGCAGGGACAAGAUGGAAAGAUGCAAUAGAUCUCUGAUCUUGGCUGAAGACAGCUGGAUGAGACUUAAAUAUCUAGGAGUCAUCAAAUCAAAAUCUUUCUCAAGAUGACAAUGUCAAAGUCUAGAAAUGUUACUCUGAAACACUGUGGAUGACUGUGAGCCACUGGAAGAGAAAGGAAAACACAAAACUGCAUGUGAAAUGACAACAUAGAACAGGAAAUGAUAACCUGCCCUAAAUCAGGUUGCUCCCAAGUUCCUGGGAGGGAGAAAAAGCAAGAUUACGACUUGGCCCUAAAGACAUUCACACCCUUUCUAGAUAAUCAAUCUGGUUCUGCCCUUCAAACUGGGGAGAAGUAGUACACUGUAGGUCCUGAUUUAAUUGGAUUUCUUGAUGAUGAUCCUGAUGAAUGGGUAGAGUCCUGGUUGAUGGAAAGAAGUCUGUUAGAAGAAGCAGGCGGGGAAGUAACCUCUGGUAAUAAUUCAAGCAUCUUUGGAAGCUGUUUUAAGUCCUUCACUUGGGACUGGAGUUGUAGGUUGGACAUCUGGGAGAAUAUACAGUAUUGGAAACCAAAUUUUAAAAGGUUGUAUUGUAUUUUAAAAGGUGAUUGUAUAUCGUCUAGGAGAGAAUGCAUUUUCAUAUUUUUGUUUUGGGAUAGACACCAAAACUCAGAGGUGGCAAUAAUCAAGUGUAUAGGAGCAUAGUUCUUGAACUUAAGCCCUCAUCAGAAUCACCUGGAGGACUUGUUGCAACACAAAUGUUUAGCUCCACCCCCUGAGUUUCUGACUCAGUAGGUCUGAGAUGGCCAAAGAAUAUGUAGAAACAAGUUCCCAGCUGAUACCGGUGUUGUUGGGUUUGAGACUUUACUUUGGGAACCAGUGCUUUCGGGAAUACCAAACAAAAGGAUAAGUAUCUUCCUCACAAAGCUCUGAUUUCCCCUCAGUGGCACCUAAUCAGUAGGUUUACAUGCAGUUGAAAUUAAAAAAUGAGCAAUGACCACUACUGUUAAUUUGGAACAGUCAAACUAACCUCACAAAAGACUUCUCCAAUGGAAAAAAAUGGGAAACUCUUUCCACGGUUAUACACUGGCUUUACUGGCUGUGGUCUCAGUCAAAGCACAGAAUGAACCUUGGCCAGCAGCAUGAGGUCUCUCAAGCCUGCAGCUGUUAGGAGGAGGCUGCUCUGCCAGUGACUCUGGGCAGGAAGUGCCUCAUUAGAACUGAUGCAUCUAUUUUACUCAGCCCCCCACAAAAGGCAAAAAUCCCUAGGUUUCUCCAAAACUUCUUUUAACACCCACUCUCCCAAAGCCACCACACUAGAUGGCUUUGCUACCCAUGGCUGUUUUACAUAUGGCAACUGACAGUUUGAAGUUCAUUAUGAUGGGGAGUUUUUAAAAUGCUAAGUCAUAAAUCAAGCCUGUAUCUUCACUCACAGUGAGAUUAGCGAUAGCAUAAAUAAAAUGAAAAGCCACAAUGACAGACAGGCGCAGGGCAUCCAGACUGAAAAAUAUCUGAAACAAGGCCACUUUGCAUCCGGAUCCAAACUGUGAGCAGUCAGUCCAUAAAGAACAUUGAGGAUUAGCGCAACUUUCAUCAGAAAUAUGACUUUACAGUGCAUAUCAAGUUCAACAGGACUUCUCACAGUGCUCCUUUCCAGGACCCUGCAUCACAUAAAGGAUGGAGUGCUACCACAGUUUUCUCUUUCCAGCAAACAGUUUAAAAUGUGUGUUGUUCAAGGCAACCCAGCUUCCUCUGUGCUCGUAUCAUUUUACAGAACUCCUGCCAUCCUUCAUUCCCUUAUCCAGCUAAGUGCUCAGCAACAAUGGACAAACAAAAUCUAAACUAGCAUUACCACUGCCCUAGGGAUAACACUGAAAAGAGUUAUGCAGUAUGAUCUGAUAAUAGCUGGCUUCAAGAGAAAAAAAAAAAACAAACACCCAACACUUUUUAGGGGAUAUUUUUGAAAUUUAGAUUUCAAAUCCUAUGUGCAGUUGGACACACAUUUUGGGAAUUGCUCUUUUGAUUAUCAGGUAAAGAAGAUAAUAUGAAUAGGUUGUCUGAUAUAUGAAGUAUAUGUUAACACUGUAUUAAAAAAAUAGUUGUGUAGCAUCAGGCAAGGAUGAAGAAUAAUGAUCUUGUUUUACCAAGAGAAAAAGACUUUCAUAUCUGGUUAAUAGAUCAGCCCGCAUCUCAAGAAAAAUAACAUAAAUAGUUCAUAUAUUAAUCUCACUAACUCUUUAUGGUUGCACAAUUAUCCUGUUAAUCAUGAAUUACAUGCUCAUGAUCAGUGAGCAUAACUCUAGUCCACAGGAUGGCCCAAAUAAAGGA